UGAUGUUUGGCAUAUUUGUAAAGGCAUUAAAAAAACUAUUAGUUAACAGUAGAAAAAUGGGAAAUGAAGAUCUAACAGCAUGGGUUAGAAGCAUCACAAAUCAUUUAUGGUACAGUUGUGCAACAUGUGACGGUGACGGAGACGUUGAGGUACUGAAAAGAAAGUGGUUCUCAGUAUUAAAUCAUGUAGUGAAUAUUCACAGCUGGAUGGAAAAUGGGCAAUAUUUUUCAUGUGAACACGACAAGUUAUCUGAUGAUGAGAUGGAGCGAAAAAAAUGGUUGAAUGUGUCAUCACCAGGUUAUCAAGCCUUAUAUAGCAUGUGUCAUCACCAGGUUAUCACCAGAAUGUGUCAUCACCAGGUUAUCAAGCCUUAUGUAGCAUUGUUAUGUAGGACAUGUCUGUAGGCAACUAGUCUGUACUGACUGAAAUUAGAGCAAUGUUACAGUAUUAUUGUUAUUUGUAAUAAUUUUUAUUAUUGAUGUUAAUACAGGGUUUUUCACAUUUCUUGUGUGUUAAAUUAUAUAAAUAAAUUGAAAUGAUAAUGGUAUGUCAUUUUUUUGUGUUUUACAGUUCAGAUUGGCAGCCAUCUCUUGUCAUGACAGUUUAAGAUGACUGAAUUUAUGUUUACAGAAAGAUAUGUUUUACACAUACAAUUUGUAAACAUAUUUGUAAAUUGUCUAGUCAAAUAUAUUAAUGUGUGACAAAAUUAUACAACUGAUUAAAGAAAAAAGAAAUAACAGUAGGCCUACUAAAAAAUUAUCCAUUUGCUAUCUUGUAACCCAGACUCAUUGGUAAAUCUUAUUGCCUAAAAGGUAAUCCAAUGGUUGGCUUAUAAUAAUGUUAUAUUACUGAGCAUCCCACAAAGUGGUACAUAGUACAAUGGAAGAUUCCGUAUACAUGUAAUUACUAAGUUUCCAAACUUGUAAUAAUUAAACAUUUGAUAAGUGCAAUGGAAUUGUAUUUUACAUUCAAAUUACCUAUUAGUUAAACGGCCAUUUGGUCCCUUUGGUUUCGGAAACUUCUUCCAAUUCACACGGUUUGUUUUAAAAAAUGUUGUUAGAACUCCUCUAUUAAUAUGAGGUCCAAAAUCACUGUGUUCUGUUAUACAUUUUUGUACUGACUCUGCCCCGCCAGGAAAUCAAAAAAAGUCAACAAAUGAUUAAAUGUGUAAAGCCAAAACCAAUCACUGAUGAAAAAAGCGUUUUUCUGAAGCCAAAUAUAAACAUUAAUGUUUCACACUGAACCAUGGAUCUGUUUCACUGAACUAAUAAUCCCUGUGUAAAUUGAUUAAAUUCAGUUUCCAGUAAAUGGCCAUAUAGCCUACAUGUAGG